AUGACGAGAGACAUGCAGUUCUGUGUGUGCAUGUGUCAUACCAAUAAGACAUGUGUGUUGAGGAGUGGCAGAGAACUGUGUUUUAAGACUGAGAUUGAUUUGCAGGUUAACUUGCAUCACUCCUGGUAGCCCCCUAAACAAUAGAAAUGGUUUAUGAGUAACCAUGAGAGAUAACAGAAGAAUCGGAUUAAUCUCAAUGAGAGAACAGGUAUCUAACUUAGAGAGCUGAUAUCCAUUCUUGGUGACAACCCCGACAGACUUCUUCCCUUCUACUUCUUGUCGUUGGGGGCGAGGUCCAAAAUGUUGCCAACACAACGUUCAAACAAACAGGACUGUCAUGAGGCAUGACUCACACUGAUUUAAUUCAUGGUUCCUCUUCUUCUGCCUGUCCUCAUCACAUGCCAGACUCAUUGGCGGUCCCUCUGCUUCUUGCGACCUCCCGUAUGCUGUUUUCCCUUCUCAUUGAGUACUAAAGACAUUGGUGAAUAAAUGCAAAGUGAGGUGAGAAACAGUGAAACUUGAUCAACCAUGAGGAUGAGGUAAGAUCAGGGGAGGAGAGAACUAUAGAUUGUACUGGAGUUCAGGAGGGUGUUGGAGACUUGUACUGUUUCCCUCCUGGGGGCUGGUUCAUUUGGUUUUAUUGCCCAGUUCUCUGGGGGCCAGCAUGGAAAUCCUCUCCGACCACAACUUCAGCCUAAGAUAAACCUUUCCAUGGUCAGAACACAGCACACCGAGGCAAAUCACUUAUUUCCCCUUUCUUCUCAUUUGCCUUGUAUACCCCAGUGCACGUGGUUAUAUAACAAAGGAAAAUACAACUCUGAAAAGGACCAAGUUGGGAAUUUGGGUACAUGCCAUGCAAAUUUGCAGCUAAUACCGACAAUUGUCAAACAGCCCCAUCUGAGUUUAUUUUGAAAUGAUGGUUUCCACUAUAGGGUCAAUAAGCGGGAUCAUAAGGGAAUAAAUAACUUCACUAUGGGACUCUGUACUGUUUACAGCCAUCCCCCUUCUGUUUAUACUGGCCCAUUAUAAGUUUGAAAGAUCUGUGUUGUGUUUGAGUCUGGAGUGGCCCAAACAGAGAUGUUUGGAAAUGAUGAUUCAUCAGGUUCCUAUCACAUGCAAACAACCAGCAUCAGCCUUAGCUAACAGUGAAGAUUGCAACAUGGAUAAUCAAUUAUAAGCAUUGCUGUCUCUGGCCCUGUGAUUUUUCUAAUGCAAUCUCAAGUGGACAGCUCUAACUAAAGGAGCGUAAGCACUCAGGACAUUCGAAGGUUGUCCAGGUCAUUUAGCAAGGUGAACGAGUGCUGGGCCGCAUGAAGGAAGGACCACCUACUCAGUUGUCGUCCCCUGUCCCGCUGCAGUGUCACUAUGAACCCAAAAUUAUCUUCUCAUUGAUUUGUUUUUUGAGCACUGCUACAAUAACACUGCUCACCACAUAAUGAGCAAUAUAUAUAUAUUUUUUCAUUGGUAAAAUCUUUCACAGCGCAGAAAGAUGUGUUGUGUACUCCGACUGGGUAAAAACAACAUAACUCGGUCGUCGUGAACAAGAAUGAUGGACGUGUUUUGGUUGUAUGGAGCAAGGAGGUGUUAAGCCCCAUGAUUAUGUGGCCCUAUGGGGCAAACUUGUAAGAUCAGUGACCACUACUGACAGCAAUCAACAAAAGAAGGACUUUAAAAACAGCCGAACCUUGGGAUUUAGGCUCACCAGAACCAGAAGUCCCCACACUGGAAGCCUCCCUUUCGAUCCUGACAGUAUUAUUUUAGAACCUCAAUUCCAUGGCCCGGUGCACGUCAUUAAUGACUGGUGUGAUCAGAGUGGAGCUAGAGGAGAGACGAGAGGAAAACAGGGACACGGCACAGGACCACAUACAGCCAUAACAGAGGUGGGAUCCGUUCUGAAAUCCGAGCACGAGACAUGGGGCCACAUUUCAAGUGUGAACACGCACACUCAGAGCGGUCCACUUGUGAUCGGACCACAAACGCUAUAUGUUAAUGUCAGGUGUGCCCCUGUUGUCUUUUCUACCAGCUGUUACACAGUGAAAUUCAUCAUUUAACAAUAAUACAACUGUUCACAUCUUUUCUUUGAAAAAAAUUAUGGGAAAUUAAAUAAUGAC